rnacentral:piRNA from 1 species
UGCAUUCUUCAAAUUAAAGUU